GGCUCCGGCCCUCCUGAGAGGCCCCCUGGGUUCGUGCCCCUCGUGGGGUCCGGAAGGGCCAUUGGGAACGUCAGCUGCCCCCGUAGGAGCCGCCUUCCUCCAUCCUGACCCUCCAGAAGCCUUCGUCAGUCAGCAGACAUUUAUUAAGCACUUACUGGGUGCCGAAGGCUGGGGACUAUCAUAUUCGCCGGCAUUUAUGUGGCGCUUUAAGGUUCGCAAAGCGUUUGGACCUCACGUCAGCCUCGGGAAGAUGUAACUGUUCCAGUAUAGUGUCCAUGUGGUCACAGCCUGAGAGAACUGACUUUGCAGAAGAGACGCAUCCACCAAGAAAGAAGUGUGUAUCUGAAGGGAAUUGUUGACCUUCUGAAACUGACACACACAUUUUUAGAUCUCUCUGAACCUGUUAGCAAAAGUUGUUCGUGGUACAGUAUCUUAUUCUUUACCCAUUGGAGGCAUGGUGCUCUAGGAAGUGGUAUAAGAGCUGCUGAUCUUCAGUGUUUCGAAAAUUCACUAGAAUUUCACUGUAACCAACAUUCAUGUCUAGGGAAUUCAAAAGUCAGAACAAAAAGAGAACAUUGACACCAUGCAUCAGAAAGUCAAAUUCUUCCUCCAAACUCUGAAGUUUAGUAUUGCUCGCUUUGGAAAAUGCACACAGAAGCAGCCUCACAAUCACCUCAUUGAUUGUUGCCCUUGGAUAAACGUGAGAAAAUGUCACAGCUUUAAGAGUUUGCAAAAUAAAUGCAAGAAAUUGAUAUCAGAAAGAAACAUCACAAGCCGGAGAUUCUCCUAUGCGAAUCUUCUGAAUACUGAACAAGAGAACACAAAAUCCCUUUUAAUAAAUUACACGGAUUCGAUGGAAAGAUUCAAGAAGAAAAUAGAAGCAUUCUAUGACAAAUACUUACUCACUUUGGACAGCUUAGAGAUUAGAUUUGGUGAUUUUAUUUACUAUGAAGAAGAUGGUUGCAUACUUCGUUUAAAACUUGGAGAUGGUAUUAAUAAUUGUGAAGUUUUACUCCGUUUGGAAGAGCUUUCAUUAUAUAAUGCCUUUGUUGAACGUAUCAGGAUUUCUCCAGGGGAGGAGUACAUGGCAGCCAGCAUAAAAACCUCAGAUUCUGAAGAGUCUACAUGUGUAAUUGUUAAGCUUGGCAAAUAUCCAAAAGUGGAGGACUUCAUUCCCAAUGUGUUCAGUUUUGAAUGGGCACAGAAUGGCAUUUUAUUAUACACUUGCCAAAAGAACCUUCGAUGUUGUGAUGUAUUUCGAACCAGCUUUGGGAAUAAAAAACAUACUGAACGCAUCUACACAGAACAAGAUCCAAGAUUUUUUGUGGACCUGCAUUGUACAAGAGACAAGUCCUUCCUCACCAUAAAUAGUAAUAGCAAGACCACUUCUGAAGUGUGGUUGGUGGAUUGUCACCAGCCUUGGAAUCCACCAGUCCUUGUCCAAAAGAGAAAUCCUGGGGUGAUGUACCAUAUUGAGCACAGAAACAGUGAGUUAUAUAUUCUCACAAAUUAUGGAGAGCCUGCAGAAUAUAAGUUAAUGAAGACAUCAGUCAAUUCCCUUACUAUGAAGAAUUGGCGACUUAUUUAUGCAUUGAAGAGAAAAACCAAGCUUAUUGACAUGGUGAUGUUCAAGGAUCACUGUGUUAUGUUUCUGAAAUACUGCAAUCAACUUUAUCUCAAUACAAUUUCCUUAAAUGAUCAUUCAGUUCAGUCUCUCAAGCUCCCCGCAUGGGCCUGUGCGUGCCAGCUGGACCCCCAGCCACAGGACAGCGGCAGUGACGCCUGCUCUUUUCAGCUCUCCUCUCCUGUGCAUCCUCCAAGGCAUUUUUUAUAUAUGUUAGGAAAAGGCAGUCUCUAUGAGCAAGCUGAGCAAGAGGAACCUGUUGUGACAGAUUGUCACAUGGCACGUUUAGAAGCAAAAAGCAAGGAUGGAACUUUAGUACCAGUGACAAUAUUUUAUAAAAGAAAUUCUGAGAUCUUACAGAAAAAACCUCUUCUUAUUCAUGUAUAUGGAGCUUAUGGGAUAGAUUUAAACAUGAAUUUCAAAGCUGAGAAUCAGAUGUUAAUUGAAGAUGGAUGGAUAUUAGCUUAUUGUCAUGUUAGAGGUGGAGGUGAAUUAGGCCUUAACUGGCAUGCUGGUGGCUGUCUGAACAAUAAACUCAACGGCCUUGCUGACUUAGAGGCUUGUAUAAAGUUCCUUCACAACCUGGGAUUUUCUAAACCUGCAUCUACAGCCCUUACAACUUACAGUGCUGGAGGUAUCCUAGCAGGAGCAUUGUGUAAUACCAACCCCAGACUCAUUAGGGCUGUGGCUUUACAGGCGCCUUUUCUGGACAUUCUUACUACCAUGUUGGACAUGCAGCUUCCUCUGACCAGGGAAGAACUCGAGGAGUGGGGAGACCCUUCGUCUGAUGACAAAUACAUGGACUACAUAAAAAGUUACUGUCCCUACCAGAACAUCAGACCCCAGACUUAUCCUUCAAUUAUAAUCACAGCCUAUGAAAAUGAUCAACGUGUACCUCUAAAAGGAAUAUUAAAAUAUACUCAGAGACUCAGAAAAGUUAUCAUGGAUCAAAGACACAACAGAGAUCAUGGAAGAAAGAUUAUUUUAGAUGUUCAGACUGGAGGAAGCCAUGCUGCAGCUUUUUGGGAGGACUCCAUAAUUGAGGUUGCCAAACAUCUUGCUUUUCUGUACAAAGAGCUUGGACUUGGUGACACUGGUCCCCUCAACUAAUACUCAUUUUAAGACAAGAUGGAUGCUUAACUAUGUCUCAUGCAGUGGCGUUGAGUGCCCCAGAAAUGGAAUGCAGAAAUUGAGAUGAAGAGAAGUUAAGAGAUUUUUCCCACUAUGAGAAUCACAAGAUCCUGACUCUCAAGCCCAGUCAUCCUGCCUCUACACUGUGCUGACACUCGGUGAUCUGUGACUCGCUUUACCUAGUAUCCUACCUGAGCCCCACCACAGAUCCACCCUGGGAGCUAUGAAGGUUCAGAGAUGUUAUGUGGCUUGCUCGUGGUCAUAUGGCCAAUAAGUGUGGGAGGUGAGAUUCCAACAAGUCUUCCUGAGAUGUACUGUCUCACACACGACUCCAUUUGUUUCGAGCCUUCGCCCUCCAAACAAAUAGCACAUUUGUUGCCAAAAUGGCCAGGUCUUAGUCCAAGACCCAAAAUAAAUAUCAGAGAACCCUAAGAAUAUCUAAACUAGGCACUGAAAGUGAUGAAAGUGAGCUCAUCAACUACAUUCACCUUUUAGAGAGAGACCCGUACACUGUGCCCUGAGGACUUGAUAGAGAACUCUUCCAGCUAAUGGGUCCUGCUGACUCCCUGCAGUAAAGAUUCCUGAUGGGAAUUACUACUAAUUAACUGAAUGACUUAUGAGCAUUGACCCGCAAGUCAAGGAAGAUCGAGGUUUCAGAGUAUGGCCAUAUCAUUUGCCAGCUAUGGCACCAAGGGCAAACCCUUUAACUUCUCUGUAAAUCAAAGACUUACAUAGCUGUGAAGUGAGGAUAAUAAUUUUAUCGAGGAUUUUAAAGGUUGUGCUUUUGGAAAGGCAACAUGACCUACUGGGACGCGGCCCUGGGUAUGGAGUCAGGAUCACUAGCGGGGUAGCCCUGAGCAAGCCUCUUGAACUCUCUGGGCCUUGGGGCCUUCUCUUUAGAAUAGAUGGCCUCAGAGGCUGCUUCUGUCUAUAAAUCACUUUUCUGCAUCACCAUUUUCUCAUCUGUAAAAGGGGAAUACUUGCACAACAUGUUGCACAGCACUGAUGCAAACAAAGUGAUUUGUACACCUUAAAGUGCUGUACAAAUACCAGUUGUUACCUACAACUGGGAAACGUACUGUUUGAGAAAUUUUGUGUCUUUAAAUGUAAAUUUGUCAAACUUUUUGUUGCUAUAACAUUGGAAGAUAUUAACAUCACCCCUAGUGAACUACUUAAAAAACCUUGACUCCCUGCUCUCCUGGUCAUACCAAGUGGCCCCCAUUGUUACACAUAAACAGCCUUGCUAUCAAAUACACAUAGUUUUAAAGUUCUUUUUCCUACUUUGCUUAGUAUGUAAUAGUCUAAAACAGAACUUCUACCUUCAUAUCUCAGCUCUAAGGAAUUAUCAAUAUGUGACGUUGACUGGUGACCGGUGAAACUUACUCGUGACAUUUCAAUGUUUUAACUCCAAACGAAGAAAAAUGAUGACCUCAGAAUGUAAAUUCCCUGAGGUCAGGAACUGUUUUUAUUUUUUGUCUUUGUAUCCCCAGUGUUUAGCACCAUGUCUUGGCACGUAGGUGCAACACAUUAAUAAAUGCUUAAUACUAGAGAAAGUUUACUACAAAGUAUGACUUUAAAGAGUCUGUAAUUACAUUGUGUUUAUACACAGUAGGGAGGUAUGGAAAAUUACCACCCAAUUAGCAAAAAAGCCGAAGUUGGACCAGAAAUGAGCAAGACGAAUCACAUGUAUGUUCACAACAUUUUUGAUUUUCAGAAUCCAUCCAAUUAUUUGGCAGA